GCGGGAGUAGCUCAGUUGGCUAGAGCAUCAGCCUUCCAAGCUGAGGGUCGCGGGUUCGAAGCCCGUCUCCCGCU
rnacentral:tRNA from 1 species